GCCCGAGUGGCGGAACUGGUAGACGCGUUGGUCUCAAAAACCAAUGGGCUUUUGCUCUUGCCGGUUCGAUUCCGGCCUCGGGUA
rnacentral:tRNA from 1 species